UACGUAGGGGGCAAGCGUUGUCCGGAUUUAUUGGGCGUAAAGCGCGUGUAGGCGGCCAGGUAGGUCCGUUGUGAAAACUCGAGGCUCAACCUCGAACUUGCGGUGGGUACGGGCAGACUAGAGUGUGGUAGGGGAGACUGGAAUUCCUGGUGUAGCGGUGAAAUGCGCAGAUAUCAGGAGGAACACCGAUGGCGAAGGCAGGUCUCUGGGCCACUACUGACGCUGAGAAGCGAAAGCAUGGGGAGCGAACAGG
rnacentral:rRNA from 1 species